AGAGUUCGAUUCUGGCUCAGAACGAACGCUGGCGGCAUGCCUAACACAUGCAAGUCGAACGAGAUCUUCGGGUCUAGUGGCGCACGGGUGCGUAACGCGUGGGAAUCUGCCCUUUGGUUCGGAAUAACAGUUGGAAACGACUGCUAAUACCGGAUGAUGACGAAAGUCCAAAGAUUUAUCGCCAGAGGAUGAGCCCGCGUAGGAUUAGCUAGUUGGUGUGGUAAAGGCGCACCAAGGCGACGAUCCUUAGCUGGUCUGAGAGGAUGAUCAGCCACACUGGGACUGAGACACGGCCCAG
rnacentral:rRNA from 1 species